ACUCAAAGGAAUUGACGGGGGCUCACACAAGCGGUGGAGCAUGUGGCUCAAUUCGAAGCAACGCGAAGAACCUUAUCCUGGGCUUGACAUGCGCGGAUUAGUCCCGAGAAAUCGGGAUGACGCUCGCAAGAGUGGAACGCGCACAGGUGCUGCAUGGCUGUCGUCAGCUCGUGCUGUGAAGUGUCGGGUUAAGUCCCUUAACGAGCGAAACCCCUAUCUCUAGUUGCUACUCCCGAUGCGUCGGGAAGGACUCUAGCGAGACUGCCGGUGUCAAACCGGAGGAAGGUGGGGAUGACGUCAAGUCCUCAUGGCCCUUAUGCCCAGGGCUGCACACGUGCUACAAUGGCGCGAACAAAGCGACGCGAGACCGCAAGGUGGAGCAAAUCGCAAAAAACGCGCCCCAGUUCAGAUCGAGGUCUGCAACUCGACCUCGUGAAGUUGGAAUCGCUAGUAAUCGCGGAUCAGCUACGCCGCGGUGAAUAUGUUCCUGAGCCUUGUACACACCGCCCGU
rnacentral:rRNA from 1 species